rnacentral:lncRNA from 1 species
CAAAAUUGUCAAAAAAUGCGAUUGAGUGAUCCAUGUUAAAUCAAUCAUCGAUUUUGCUUAUAUAAUGUUACGAUGACACAAUACACGUGCUCAAGUUGAGUAGGGUCAAAGUCUUUAUAAUAUGUCAGUCAAAGAGGACGACUAUAUAUUCUGUUUCAUGAUGUUCAUAUUUUUACUGUAGGUUCAGCUUUUUACAAACUUGUUAAACCAAUGCCCCAUGAGAAAGAUUUCUCUUAUUGAUGUUUUUUUUCGUCUUAUUAUUAUAAGAUUAUAACGAAUGAAUUAUUGAUGUCUCUAUAUUUUAUAUUGGUUCCUGUAAUUCUCGAUUGAAAAAAGAUAUAUACCAAUAAGUACGAUCUAUAUUAUAAAUAACUGGAAUGGAGAAAUUGCCUUGAUAACCAUUAACCAUGGACUGCCAAUAAAUACUUUCCCUGGUAUGUAUCGA